rnacentral:rRNA from 1 species
CGACCGGCGCACGGGUGAGUAACACGUAUCCAACCUUCCGUUUACUCAGGGAUAGCCUUUCGAAAGAAAGAUUAAUACCUGAUAGUAUGGUGAGAUUGCAUGAUGGCACCAUUAAAGAUUUAUUGGUAAACGAUGGGGAUGCGUUCCAUUAGGUAGUAGGCGGGGUAACGGCCCACCUAGCCUGCGAUGGAUAGGGGUUCUGAGAGGAAGGUCCCCCACAUUGGAACUGAGACACGGUCCAA